rnacentral:rRNA from 1 species
CACGUAGGGCGCAAGCGUUGUCCGGAAUUAUUGGGCGUAAAGAGCUCGUAGGCGGUCUGUUGCGUCCGCUGUGAAAACUCGAGGCUCAACCUCGAGCUGUCGGUGGAAACCGUAAGGCUAGAGUCCGGAAGAGGAGAGUGGAAUUCCUGGUGUAGCGGUGAAAUGCGCAGAUAUCAGGAAGAACACCCGUGGCUAAGGCGGCUCUCUAGUACGGUACUGACGCUGAGACGCGAAAGCGUGGGGAGCGAACAGG